rnacentral:rRNA from 1 species
ACGCUCGACACCUACGGGGGCAGCAGUGGGGAAUAUUGCACAAUGGGGGAAACCCUGAUGCAGCGACGCCGCGUGAGUGAAGAAGUAAUUCGUUAUGUAAAGCUCUAUCAGCAGGGAAGAAAGUGACGGUACCUGAGUAAGAAGCCCCGGCUAACUACGUGCCAGCAGCCGCGGUAAUCUGAGCGGGCUGGCAAGGC